rnacentral:rRNA from 1 species
AACGAACGCUGGCGGCAUGCCUAACACAUGCAAGUCGAACGAGACCUUCGGGUCUAGUGGCGCACGGGUGCGUAACGCGUGGGAACCUGCCCUUCGGUUCGGAAUAACAGUGAGAAAUUACUGCUAAUACCGGAUGAUGUCUUCGGACCAAAGAUUUAUCGCCGAGGGAUGGGCCCGCGUAGGAUUAGGUAGUUGGUGGGGUAAUGGCCUACCAAGCCGACGAUCCUUAGCUGGUCUGAGAGGAUGAUCAGCCACACUGGGACUGAGACACGGCCCAGACUCCUACGGGAGGCAGCAGUGGGGAAUUUUGGACAAUGAGCGCAAGCCUGAUCCAGCAAUGCCGCGUGAGUGAUGAAGGCCUUCGGGUCGUAAAGCUCUUUUACCAGGGAUGAUAAUGACAGUACCUGGAGAAUAAGCUCCGGCUAACUCCGUGCCAGCCGCCGCAGUAAAAC